GCAGCCGCGGUAAUACGUAGGUCGCAAGCGUUGUCCGGAUUUACUGGGUGUAAAGGGCGUGUAGGCGGAGAUGCAAGUCAGAUGUGAAAUUUCGGGGCUCAACCCCGAACCUGCAUUUGAAACUGUAUCCCUUGAGUGUCGGAGAGGCAAGCGGAAUUCCUAGUGUAGCGGUGAAAUGCGUAGAUAUUAGGAGGAACACCAGUGGCGAAGGCGGCUUGCUGGACGAUAACUGACGCUGAGGCGCGAAAGCGUGGGGAGCAAACAGGAUUAGAUACCCC
rnacentral:rRNA from 1 species